CUCCUGGUCUCGCACCUGAACGACAGAGGAAGAGCAGGCACAGUCACACUCGGGGAGAAGGCAGCCUUGCCUGCACCAGCUUCCAAGCAACUCAUCAGGACUCCUACACGGGUCUUCCUGUGCAGUGAGGGCUGGAAUUUUGGCUGCUGCUUAUGUGUGGAGAGAACGGUUGGUGGAAGAUGAAGGCCUGAACAUCCCUCCUUGGGGCAGGUUUGCAAACUGUGUCCUCAGUCAGCACUAACCACAGGGAGAAUUUCCACUUGGAAAUACAGGCGA